AAGUCAGCUUCUGUAAUCUUCUCUGUAUAUCCGUAGGUGCCUCUCUGUAUAGAUUUGGUAUUUAAGUAUUAUCAGCUACUUUUACACUCAAGUUUCUGCCCCCAAAUCUGUAAAUGUAUUUGCAUUUUCCCUUACCUUUUAUCCCUUUAUUUUUUUGAAGAGGCAUUUUUACUAGUGUCUAAAGCUAAUCUUGCCACCUAUGUUCCUAAUUUCCUCAGCCAACCAUUAAGUGUUUUAUAUCCAUCAUGUAAUAGGCACUGGUAAUACUAAAUGUAUAAGGCCGGACAUGGUGGCUCACACUUGUAGUCCUAGCUACUUGGGAGGCUGAGGCGGGAGGAUUGCCUGAGCCUGGGGGUUUGAGGCUGCAGUGAGCUCUGAUCGUGUCUCUUCACUCCAGCCUGGGCAACAAAGCGAGUCCCUGUCUCAAAAACAAAAAACCGGUGCAUGGUGAUAAACCAUACUGGGGAUGUAUAGGGUGCUGCUAUAGGAGCAUAGCUAUUUUUGAAGCCAUGGGAAGACGAAAAUGUCCAAGGAGAGUAGAAAUUGAGGAGAAAAGAAUCCUGAGGACAAACAUGGAAAGACUGUGGAGAAUGAGGAAAUUGCUAGUAGAGAGGUAGAGUAGAGUGAACCAACAAGAGUCUAGUGUGACAGAAGCUGAGCAGAAAAGUGCAUCUCAGGACACAGGUAGUGAUCAACAGAUACUGCGAAACAGCCAGGUAAGGACCUUCUCCCUCUUUCCUCUGAAGGCUCUGUUGGAUAAUAUUUCUGUCUGAAUACCACGUGUUCCUGCUAUUCUCAUGUGUUGAGCUCCUGAACUCAGGUGAGUGUGUGUAUAAUGAGUUUGGUGGCUGAAGGAAACCACAUCCAUCCUCUGAAUUCACUUUGUUCUUGAGUGUCAAAUCUGAACUAGUAGCUCAAGUUCAGAUAAUGGCUUAAGUGCAGAUAAUGAGGAAUUUGUCAAAAACUGUGUCCGAAAUACAGGCAGGGAAAUACUGGUGGGAAGCAGGGAGAUGGGAUAUAUCUAAGGGAUAUUUGGGUCUCCCUUUAUCCUGGUUCAGUGAAACUUCAUUUGACAAGACAAUUAUUCCUCAAUUCCACAUUUUCUGUUUCCUUUAUUGUCCUAGAAAGAGUUGUUUUAAUUCCCUGUUGCUACCUCUAGACUCCCAGUGAGUGCUAAAUCCCUUUACAUCUGUUGUCUUCCCUCCGGAUUAAGUGGAAUCUAAAUUUACAAAGUUACUUAAGAUCCAUUUGUUGCUAAAUACAGGGGAUACAUUUCUGUUGUUAUCUCAGCUUCUAGGCAGCAUUUGCCAUUGUUAACCACCUAAACCUUAGAAUACUUUUGUCUUUUCUGAAACACCAAAGUUUCUGGUUUUUUCUUAUCCCUCUGGUUAGUUUAUUUGUUAGCUUUUCUUCUCUGGCUCUCAAAGGUUAUAUAUUGUUCUGUAGCAUAAGCCCUCGUCUUCUCACUCUCUAUUGCUGGCUGAUCUGAUUUACUGCUGUAGCACAAGUUACCCUAAUUAACGCUUUGGGACGUUAAAUGAGCCUUAUGACACUGAUACAACUCUAUGUAGAGAUCACUGUAUUAUUAUUAAUUUGGACAUUUUGAAUAUAACAGUCAUGUAGAUUAUACAGAAUUCACACUGUGCACAUCUGUAUAUCUGGAAUGAACUCAUAGUGCAACAAUAAUUGAAAUAUUCCUGUUAUUUAGGCUAGAAUCAAACUGGAAUCUUAGAGGCAACUCAAUUAUUCUUGACUGCUCAAAAAUAUAAUUUUCAAAUCCUUUUUAUUAACUGAAUUGGGAAUCUAUAAGCUAAGAAGUAAUUAUAUUAAGCACCCUUUUAAAAUCUAGAUUUAAAUCUGCGUAGUGUUGAUUUUUAAUUCUUCUCAGUGGUUAUUCAUCUUGUCACAGUUUCUAAAAUUGUACUUUAAAGUUCCAUGAACAUUUCAGUGGAAUCAGGUUUUGUUUGAUAAACACUGCCCUCCUGUGGUUAACGUAAGCUAACAGUUUGGCAAAACUGCUGUAGUCUUUUCACUU